AUACGUAGGGUGCAAGCGUUAAUCGGAAUUACUGGGCGUAAAGCGUGCGCAGGCGGUUUUGUAAGACAGAGGUGAAAUCCCCGGGCUCAACCUGGGAACUGCCUUUGUGACUGCAAGGCUAGCGUACGGCAGAGGGGGAUGGCAUUCCGCGUGAAGCCGUGAAAUGCGUAGAUAUGCGGGGGAACACCGAUGGCGAAGGCAAUCCCCUGGGCCUGUACUGACGCACAUGCACGAAAGCGAGGGGAGCAAACAGGAUGAGAUGCCCUGGUAGUCCACGCCCUAAACGAUGUCAGCUGGUUGUUGGGUCUUCAUUGACUCAGUAACGAAGCUAACGCGUGAAGUUGACCGCCUGGGGAGUACGGCCGCAAGGUUGAAACUCAAAUGAAGUGACGGGG
rnacentral:rRNA from 1 species